rnacentral:rRNA from 1 species
UGGGGAAUAUUGCACAAUGGGCGAAAGCCUGAUGCAGCAACGCCGCGUGAGUGAUGAAGGUCUUCGGAUUGUAAAGCUCUGUCUUUUGGGACGAUAAUGACGGUACCAAAGGAGGAAGCCACGGCUAACUACGUGCCAGCAGCCGCGGUAAUACGUAGGUGGCGAGCGUUGUCCGGAUUUACUGGGCGUAAAGGGUGCGUAGGCGGAUGUUUAAGUGAGAUGUGAAAUACCCGGGCUUAACUUGGGUGCUGCAUUUCAAACUGGAUAUCUAGAGUGCAGGAGAGGAGAAUGGAAUUCCUAGUGUAGCGGUGAAAUGCGUAGAGAUUAGGAAGAACACCAGUGGCGAGGCGAUUCUCUGGACUGUAACUGACGCUGAGGCACGAAAGCGUGGGUAGCAAACAGGAUUAGAUACCCUGGUAGUCCACGCCGUAAACGAUGAGUACUAGGUGUAGGAGGUAUCGACCCCUUCUGUGCCGCAGUAAACACAUUAAGUACUCCGCCUGGGAAGUACGAUCGCAAGAUUAAAACUCUAAAGUGAAUUGAC